rnacentral:lncRNA from 10 species
AAAAUCUGAUUCAGAGACUAUGCCAAGCCAGGUGAUAAGAUCUUGAAGAACCAAGAUCCAGAGAGAAGUGAAAGGAAUCAGUGUUCCAUGGAACGGAAGUGCAUCAGGAAAGCUUCAAGAAAGGCCUCCUCUGCUAAAAAUGCUCUCUGAUUAGCCAUUCACUGCUUCCUGAACUAUGAAGACAUCUUCUAGGAAUACUCAGGAUCUUCUGCUAUGUGGCUUUAAUUUAUUUUAAGAUUAAUUCCUCAUUACCUUCUUACACAAAGCCACCAUUAGCAUAUCAAGCACAGCUGUACAAAUUUUUAAAAGGCCAAAAGAUGUAUCUGCCAAUUCUAGGAGGAUAUAAACCUGAAGGCACAAAUCUGGGCUGGAGCACAUGGUUUCCCUUGUGAGAAGAAAAAGUCUCCUUCCUCUGAAUGGACACACCUUGCACACCAGGGCACAAGGUUUGUCUAGAAGAGCACAGCUGAACAUCAUAAAGUGCAGAACCACACACCUGGCAUCCUUGUCCCUACACAAGAGUAUACACAACACAAUCCAAAAAGAGGGGCUUUUUUGAAUGAAAC